AUUCUGCUACCAAACUGCUUCUGGGACUUCAUGCAGUUUGCUUCAUCUGAGAGAACCUCAGGUGUUGCUGUUGAGCAGAAAUUGGAAGAAACUGUGAAGGUGAAUAGACUGGGAAAAUGGUCCUGCCCAUCAUCACAGGAAACCAUAAACCUCACCACUGUGGGACAGGAGUGACCAACCAUGACCAUUUUUGCUGCCUUAGGAACAUCCCCAUUCCCUCUAUUUUUCAGAUAAGAAACAGAAAGAAUGACUUACUAGGGAACCGAGUUAAAAACGAAAGAAGUGAAGAUUGGUCAUCUCUGCAGAGGAAAUUACAAGGUCUUUCUCAGAAGAAACAGCUGCAUAAUGUGGAAUCAGUUGUGUGAAAUUCUGUUGGCAAGGCCUUUGACUUUCAACUCUGCUGGAUCCAGCUGAGUGAUCAAAGAGAGACCUUUUGCAGGUAUUUCUUGUCUUCACCUGUACUAAUCUCACCUUAAUGAGAUGCAAAUUAUUCCAGAAUAAUAAUUUCAAGAAACACUUGUGUUCCUUCUGAGGAAAUGCUAUGAGGGUGAUCUGGAAUGCCAGGAGUUUGGUGUUGAGUGGGCCCAUUAAUCCUACUGUAUCCAAGUCCAGUGUUUUAGUUAAAUUUUAAGCAAGCUAGAGACCUUUAUGGUAAAUACAGGGUAUUUUAAGACACAUUUAAGACUACACUAGAUACACUACACUGAAGAUACACUAGAUGUCUGUUUUGACAUAGCUUUUAUCUCUCAAAACCAGCAUCUCAAUUAUUUGGUUAAGUAUCCUGUAGAUGUCAAAGAACAUUGCUGAAUCUAGAAAUGAAGGUCUGGUCUUGAUCUAAGCAUCUCUGCCUUAUAAUGAGGUACUGUCUAAUAGCCUUCAUAGCAAACAGUUAAUACAGACACGUGCUAAAAGGGGCACUUGUCCCUGUUAAGAGGAGUUAAAAGUGCCCUCCUCAUUCCCAUAACUAAAGGCCAGAUUCCUCACUGAAUUUCAAGCAACCUGCCCUGGCAUCUGUGGCAUCUUGUGAUCAUGACUUUGGGGGUUACAGAAUCACAGUUCCCUUCUUGUCAAAGCCAGAAGAAGGAGGUGGUCCCUGUGUCAGUCCACGUACCCUAAAUGAUCUUAGCACUGAAGAGUCCCAAAGCUGGUUCAUGGACAUUACAAAUUUGUUCUCCUCAGCACACAGAGGAAGAACACAAUAUUUUACAGGUGUGGAAGUGAAACACAGCUGUGAAUAUUUUAAGAUGUAUAACCUCAACAGAUAGGGGUAGAUCUUUAAAAGCCUUCAGUGUGGGUCAGCUUGUAACAUUUUCAGUGAGACUGACAGCUGAGUAACAGUUUCCCCUUGAAAAGUCUGAUUCUAGCAUCUAAAGAAGCCAGAAGAACUGAUCUUAUUUUUCUGAGAACUCAACCCAAGUAUUUGCUCAAGAUUAUGAAAUAAAUAUGUGGUCCAGUUGGUAAAUUAAUCCA
rnacentral:lncRNA from 1 species